rnacentral:rRNA from 1 species
GACGGAGGGUGCAAGCGUUGCUCGGAAUCAUUGGGCGUAAAGGGUGCGUAGGCGGCUUUUUAAGUCUGACGUGAAAGCCCAAGGCUCAGCCUUGGAAGUGCGCCAGAAACUGAAAGGCUCGAGUGCCGGAGGGGAGAGUGGAAUUCCUGGUGUAGCGGUGAAAUGCGUAGAUAUCAGGAGGAAGACCGGUGGCGAAAGCGACUCUCUGGACGGUAACUGACGCUGAGGCACGAAAGCGUGGGGAGCAAACAGG